CUGGACUUCAGUGAGAGUGCCUUCCCUUUUUCCCAGGUAGGUGACACUGACCCCAAGUUGGAGGAGGAGGAUGGAUGGAUUGGCGUUGUCCCAGUAGGCGAGGAACAGACUGAGAUUUCCAGAGGCAGCAGAGAAGAAUCUUUCACCACGGCUGUGGUCAACAAGAUGAAGCGGGCCCUCGUCUUGGGUGCCUCAGCCCUGCUUAUUCUUGCACUGAACCAGAACGCGAUCCGAGAGUUGGAUGUAUCCCAGGUUCUCUCAAAGCCUGUGAUCGUCAUCCAGACUUCGGAAAAUGUUACCAAGCUCCUCGGAGCAUUGUUGCGAAAACGACACUGCAUUCAGCUCUUGGAGAGUCAAAGCCUCAUUUGACUGAAUAUAGCAC